rnacentral:rRNA from 1 species
UACAGAGGAGCCAAGCGUUGUCCGGAUUGACUGGGAGUAAAGCGCACGCAGGCGGAUGCGCGCGUGGGGUGUGAAAUCUGGCCGCUUAACGGCCAGGCGCCAUCCCAUACGGCGCGUCUGGAGUGAUGCAGAGGUCGAUGGAAUUGCCGGUGUAGUGGUGAAAUGCGUAGAGAUCGGCAGGAACACCCAGGGGGAAACCAGUCGACUGGGCAUCUACUGACGCUGAGGUGCGAGAGCGUGGGGAGCGAACCGG